rnacentral:lncRNA from 11 species
GUCUACACAGCCAUAUAAUCCAGUUAAAAUCUGAUAAUCUAUGGAAGAGGCCUAAGUGAGGCCUAACUGCCUGUCCCCUGGGCUGAGUAGGUUGCUAGGAGACCAAGUGGGUGGAGUUUAGCCUUCUAACUGGCAGCAAUUGGAUAAAAACUAUUAUUCCUCUUCCUGUAAUUAGGACUUUAUUUUUCUUUUCUUUUUGUUGUAUCAACCUAGAGCCGUGAAUGAUGGGUUGUGUUGUCAAAUUUCGAGGUUGGGGCGCCUGUAGUUUUGUUGUUUUGUCCGCUGCCCUGAUGCCAUCACUCUUUUAUAUGCAUAUAGAUUACAAUAUUUAUAUCCCGCCCUUCUCACCCAACGGGACUCAGGGCGGCUUACAAUAAAACGCAUAUAUAAAAAUUGUACAAUACACUAUAAAUCAGUUAAAAAUUAACUUACAUCGGACAUUCAUAAAACGCAUUAAAAAAUACAGAUAGGCGUGUUCAAGUUUAAAAUUUUAUUGGUAUCUAUUUUUAUUUCUGAAAUUUACCACUCUCGGCUUAUACUGGAGUCAAUGUUUGCCCAAGUUUUUUUGUGGUAAAAUUAGGCUUAUAUUCGGGUUGGCUUAUACUUGAGUAUAUACGGUACAUUGCCAGUGGGGAGGUUAUCAUUCUGGCUGACACCUCCCACCCUGGGUUAGAGAUGCCACAUCAUCUCAGCAAUUCAUUGGAAAAGAAUCAGAAAAUAAACGGCAUUAUCUGGAUUGUUGACAAAAUCCGACUUUCAAGAUUAACUUAUGCCAGUAGCCCCGCUCACCGCUGUCCUUCCUCUCUGUUCCCGCAGCAACUGCCAUGCGAUGAGGAUGAGGACGGCGGCUUGGACGUGGUCUUCCAAGUGCGGCGCAACGACGCGCUGCAGGGCCUCCUGAAGCUUUUGAACCGAAGCAUUGCGCGCAUCGAGGCCAAGGAGAUGCUCCGGCCUCUCUCGGAAGAGAGCAAGCCGGUCAGGCUGUCCGUCGCGAUGGAUGACAGCAGUCGCAACGGAUGGCACCUCAAGGCUGCCCACCUGAUGUCGCAUUACGACGUCUCCAGAAUCCCGAAGCCUCGGCCCACGCACAGCAUGCCCUCCAUGAGCACCAUCGUCCGGAACCAGGUCGACACCAUCCGCCCCUAUGCCAGUGCCACCGAGCCUUUGGUGAUGGCAUGGAGGCCUCCGGAAAAGAAGGAGGAGGCCCCUCCGCCAAAGGAAGCGAUGGCGCCGGAGGAGCCCAUUCCGCCGGAGGACGUGGCAACCCCACAGACGCUGGAUGAGGAGUAGGGCACCGAGCCCACCUUGACCUGGGAAGGAGCCUUUGGGCACUCUCCCUCCACAGGACAACGUCACCCGGCGUGGGCCUUUGGGGACUUAUUUUUUUAAUAAUGUAGAAAAGCCUAUACAAAUCUGCCCCAUAAAAGUUACAGAGCCAUGGAUGUGUCCCGAGUCCGGAACGGAUUAGAAAUCCGGCACAGCUUUUGGACUGGUGAGUAAGUUUCCCAGGAGGGGAGCAACGACUUCCAAGUAAACAAUGAAUUACUUUUGCAGCUACUCUGAAUAAGCAAUUUGUUAUUCCAGUUGGUAGCAACUCCUCUGAGUAUGUAAUUUGUCACUGUAAAGACUGCAAUUUCCACCCAAGAGCUAAAAGUGUAAACUUAUCGGAAGAGACCCCCAAAGACCAUCCAGUCCAACCCCUUCUUUCUGCUCUGCAGGAAAAGCACAACUAAAGCCUUCCCAACAGUUUAAAAGCCUCCAAAGAAGGAGCAUUUGCCAGACUCCGAGGCAGAGAGUUCCACUUGGGAACAGCUCUUUUUAUGGCCAGGAAGUUCUUCCCAAUGUUCAGGUAUUAUUUGAACCCAUGGCUCUGAGAGAAAGGCCUUUCCCAGCCUCACUGGGAACUUCCUGCAGAUCAAGCCAGGGCCCUGUUGAUGCUUUGGGGCCCUAGACUUGCAGGAUGGGCCCUUAAAAGGAGGCAGAAUGAGAGAAGGCCUCACUUAGGCCUCUUCCACAGAUUAUCUGAUUUGAACUGGAUUAUAUGGCAGUGUAGACUCAAGGCCCUUCCACACAGCUAUAUAACCCAUUUAUAAUGGACUUAAUGUCAGGGGAAAACCUUUACCCUUUACCUUAACUACCACCAAUUCCUCAAUACUUUAUUUCCCAUACCAGCAGACUUCGCCACAGCAACGCAUGGCCGGGCAAAGCUAGUAGUUCAUAAGUCAUAAAAAUCCAAUAGUCCAUAAGCCAAAACAGUAGACAAUAGAUCCCAAAGAGCAAAGGCCCAAAGGUUACCAAGAUCCAGGAACAGGAAACUUCUCUUAGGCAUGAAGCAGGAACAUCCACUCAGAUGAAGCAAGAAUUUGCUUUGACAAAAAUCUAUCUCAAAACACACCGUUUUAAAAGCAACCCAAGAAUGCAUUUCUCUUUCCUUCUGAGGCCUCUCUCUUCCCUGCCAAUCUUAAACUCCUCCGAGGCUGAGUUACUCCCUUCCAUAACAACCAGUCCGCCCUAGAUAAUGAUGGCACCCCUUCAAGGUCCUCCUUAUCUUGCACCUGAACCGGGGCUGGAGACACUGAGGCUUGAGACAGCUCUUUUUGUGGCCAGGAAGUUCUUCCCAAUGUUCAGGUAUUAUUUGAACCCAUGGCUCUGAGAGAAGGGCCUUUCCCAGCCCCACCGGGAACUUCCAGCAGAUCAAGCCAGGGCCCUGUUGAUGCUUUGGGGCCCUAGACUUGCAGGAUGGGCCCUUAAAAGGAGGCAGAAUGAGAUAACAACAUUCAGACGUGGCUGAAGAAAGUGGCAAUCACAGACCUGGACUUUCAGGUAAGCCCUAGAGCUGCCGGACAGUAACCCAGAGCUGCUUAGGAUCUCAACUCCCCAAAGCCCCAAACGUCACAGAAAAUUCACAGGGACGGCGGGGAAGGUAGUCUGAUGCCUUUGGAGGGUUAAAAGUUCCUCCCCGUUGACUUUCCUUCUGUUUGUCUCCGUGCCAAUUAAGUACUGCCAUGCAUUUUGGACAUUGGUUGUCCCCGGAUUAGAAACCUGAUCCAUCGAGCGGUAUCACGGGAUCCCGAACGGCCAAUAUUCCAGCAGCAAGGCUUGGGAAUGCUACGCUUUUCCCCUCCCUUCCCAGACACUCCACGUUCCAGAUCCUGUCCCAAUCUACCCAAUUGUAUUAUCCCUAGAAAUCUCAGGCAUGUUCACCACAUGCAAACGGCCACCCGCUCCGUCCCUAAAAAACGACAAGCCAAGGCCCCAGAGGACUGCUUUCUUCUGGUCACAAGGGACAGUUACGUCUCCUCUGCCUUGAGCGGGGCCUUGGCUGCUUUCUUGGCGGAGGCCGAGUCCGCCUGGCUCUGGUGAUUCUGCUGGAUGUGGCCAAGGAGCGUCUCGGCCGCCUUCUCGUAGACGAGCGGCAGGAGGCUUUGCUCGGCGAGGGAGAACUGGCUCAGCACGUAAUGGUCGACGGAGAUUUCCCCCACCGGCCGGCCGAUACCCACUCUCAGGCGGACCAUGCGCUGGAAGGAAGGGGAGAGACAAAAGGCCGUGGGCGUUGUGCCUGCCAUCACGAUUCCCGGUAUUGGUUUCUCCAUGCGUUUACUCAAGGGCUAGGAAUGGUUUGUUUGCAAGCAUGUUCAUAGUGGCUCAAGGACUGGAUUGUGACGAGAGAUUUAGGCUUGAGUCCCUGCUCAGCCAUAGAAAGCCAUCGGUUUGCCUUUGGCAAACCAGUCGUUCUGGAAGGCAAUGGCUAACCCAUUAACGGGAAAAGACAGGCAACCCAAUAAUUAAAUGCCAGUAAAGUCCUUUCAAGUCAUCUGACAAAUUCGACACCUGGCCAGACUUCAAAGCCACGUUGAGAGCCUUGAAUUGACUCCAUUCUUAAGAAUCACCCAAUAAAAGACAGAUCGGUUACAUGUAGGACUUACCUACCUUUCCUCCUCCUUUCUUUCAAGGUCUGUUAGAUUAGAGACUGAAUAAUCUGAACUAGUCAAAAUAAUGGGAUCACCCGCAUUAAAUUCAUAUUAUCUUGUGCUUGGAAUGGUUAACGGUUAUGUUUCGUUUUGGGGUUUGGAGAAUGGGGUUAAUGUUUUUUCUCGAAACCGGGCUGCAAAAGCUCUCGAUCCGUGUCAAGCUGAGCCUUGAACAGACAUGGCUGUGAAUGUGCCACAAUCCCACCCUUGGGCAGGAACCAGAAAAGAGUGGGGACUUACAUCCGAGUGCAGGGAGCUGAUGCAGGAACGGACUCCGUUGUGACCCCUUGAAAGAGAAAGAAACAAAACACACGUCAGUCUCCCAGGAAGAAAGGCAGGAAGGGAAGGGGAGGAAGGAAUAAUAAUAAUAAUAAUCCGUAAAGAUAAUAAAGAUAAAUAAUAAAAACCCGUAAAGACUCUGACAGAAACCAGUACAUGUGGUCCCAGUGGUGCCGUGCUAAAAGAUCUCAGCUGGCAUUUGGAAACAAUAGACUGACAAAAUUACGAUCUGCUAACUGCAAAAGGCCAC